rnacentral:rRNA from 1 species
AGUGAACGCUGGCGGUAGGCCUAACACAUGCAAGUCGAACGGCAGCACAGGAGAGCUUGCUCUCUGGGUGGCGAGUGGCGGACGGGUGAGGAAUACAUCGGAAUCUACUCUGUCGUGGGGGAUAACGUAGGGAAACUUACGCUAAUACCGCAUACGACCUACGGGUGAAAGCAGGGGACCUUCGGGCCUUGCGCGAUUGAAUGAGCCGAUGUCGGAUUAGCUAGUUGGCGGGGUAAAGGCCCACCAAGGCGACGAUCCGUAGCUGGCCUGAGAGGAUGAUCAGCCACACUGGGACUGAGACACGGUACAGACUCCUACGGGAGGCAGCAGUGGGGAAUAUUGGACAAUGGGCGCAAGCCUGAUCCAGCCAUACCGCGUGGGUGAAGAAGGCCUUCGGGUUGUAAAGCCCUUUUGUUGGGAAAGAAAUCCAGCUGGCUAAUACCCGGUUGGGAUGACGGUACCCAAAGAAUAAGCACCGGCUAACUUCGUGCCAGCCGCCGCCGUAA